rnacentral:rRNA from 1 species
UACGAAGGGGGCUAGCGUUGUUCGGAAUCACUGGGCGUAAAGCGCACGUAGGCGGAUCUUUAAGUCAGGGGUGAAAUCCCGAGGCUCAACCUCGGAACUGCCUUUGAUACUGGGGAUCUCGAGUCCGGGAGAGGUGAGUGGAACUGCGAGUGUAGAGGUGAAAUUCGUAGAUAUUCGCAAGAACACCCAGUGGCGAAGGCGGCUCACUGGCCCGGAACUGACGCUGACGGUGCGAAAGCGUGGGGAGCAAACAGGG